rnacentral:rRNA from 1 species
GCCUACGGGGGGCAGCAGUGAGGAAUAUUGGUCAAUGGGCGCGAGCCUGAACCAGCCAAGUAGCGUGAAGGAUGACUGCCCUACGGAUUGUAAACUUCUUUUAUAAAGGAAUAAAGUGAGGCACGUGUGCCUUUUUGUAUGUACUUUAUGAAUAAGGAUCGGCUAACUCCGUGCCAGCAGCCGCGGUAAUACGUAGGAUCCGAGCGUUAUCCGGAUUUAUUGGGUUUAAAGGGAGCGUAGAUGGGUUGUUAAGUCAGUUGUGAAAGUUUGCGGCUCAACCGUAAAAUUGCAAUUGAUACUGGCGG